rnacentral:rRNA from 1 species
AUUGAACGCUGGCGGCAGGCCUAACACAUGCAAGUUGAACGGUAACAGGAAGAAGCUUGCUUCUUUGCUGACGAGUGGCGGACGGGUGAGUAAUGUCUGGGAAACUGCCUGAUGGAGGGGGAUAACUACUAGAAACGGUAGCUAAUACCGCAUAACGUCGCAAGACCAAAGAGGGGGACCUUCGUGCCUCUUGCCAUCGGGUGUGCCCAGAUGGGAUUAGCUAGUAGGUGGGGUAACGGCUCACCUAGGCGACGAUCCCUAGCUGGUCUGAGAGGAUGACAAGCCACACUGGAACUGAGACACGGUCCAGACUCCUACGGGAGGCAGCAGUGGGGAAUAUUGGACAAUGGGCGCAAGCCUGAUGCAGCCAUGCCGAGUGUAUGAAGAAGGCCUUCGGGUUGUAAAGUACGUUCAGCGGGGAGGAAGGGAGUAAAGUUAAUACCUUUACUCAUUGACGUUACCCGCAGAAGAAGCACCGGCUAACUCCGUG